rnacentral:rRNA from 1 species
UACGGGGGGGGCAAGCGUUGUUCGGAAUUACUGGGCGUAAAGGGCGCGUAGGCGGCCUACUAAGUCGGACGUGAAAUCCCCCGGCUUAACCUGGGAACUGCGUCUGAUACUGGGAGGCUAGAGUGCGGGAGAGGGAUGCGGAAUUCCAGGUGUAGCGGUGAAAUGCGUAGAUAUCUGGAGGAACACCGGUGGCGAAGGCGGCAUCCUGGACCGACACUGACGCUGAGGCGCGAAAGCUAGGGUAGCAAACGGG